GCCCUCUUGGCUUAGUGGUAAAGCGUAUCACUAGUACUCCUCAGUACGAUAUGAUAAGAUCGCUAGUUCGAUUCUGGCAGAGGGCA